rnacentral:rRNA from 1 species
GUGGCCUACGGGACGCAGCAGUGAGGAAUAUUGGUCAAUGGCCGAGAGGCUGAACCAGCCAAGUCGCGUGAGGGAUGACGGCCCUACGGGUUGUAAACCUCUUUUGUCGGGGAGCAAGACCCGCCACGAGUGGCGGAGCGAGAGUACCCGAAGAAAAAGCAUCGGCUAACUCCGUGCCAGCAGCCGCGGUAAUACGGAGGAUGCGAGCGUUAUCCGGAAUGAUUGGGCGUAAAGGGGGCGUAGGCGGCCUGCUAAGUCUGGAGUGAAAGGUACCG